UUAAUUAACUUUUUCAAUUUUUCCGCCGAUUACGAAUUUUAUUUAGUUAAUUUAUCUUUCUACUCUUCCAUACAUUAGAAAAUUUUGAUUCUUUUUCGAGAAGAUAGUACUUUUUAUAUAAAAUUUUAUUUGUUGAAUUAACAUACGAACCGAACUCAUUAAUUAGCUUAAAACGCGCUAAUUAAUAAUUGAACGCAUUCCAUGCGCUCGAUGCAGCCCGCUUGGUACCGCUAGUACUAGAUUGGCGUAUCGAGACGCGCACCCGGCUCGGCGCACGCCGCCACCACGACGGUUUUCAACUGGAGGGAAGGACUGGGGAAAAUAAGAAGCGACGCGCUAGCCAGAGGAAGGUAGUUCCUACACCACCACCACCGACAGUACUAGCACCAGCUCCAGCACCAGCAGUCACAGUCGCCGCAGUCCGCCACGCAGAAGCCAGCACCGAGAACCAGCCGCCGCCUAGCAGUGGGAAAGCCUGCCGUCCUCCGUUUUUAUUGAAUUCACCGUCGCUCCGAAACCGCCCGCAAGAUUUGCUCCAACCCGGUGACGAGACUCUCCGCAUCGGAGCCAAUUUAAGCGCUAGGUGUCUCAACUAGCCACCUACACAUCGCCUUGCCUUCCGCCCUGAUUAAGAAGAAAGACAUUUUUCUUUGAAUCUAAAAUAAACUUUUGACUUGUAAAUAGUUUUGGGAAAACACGACCUGCUCUUUAUUUUAUAACUACA
rnacentral:lncRNA from 1 species